CACGUGAACGGUCUUGCAGUCAACAGACAGUACACUGCUGGUGAGUAUCCAUGAUGCAGUAUUUAUCAACUGACUACCUUCUGCUUCUUCAGUGUGAAUUUGAAUCAUAUUUAUCACACCCAUAUUCAAUCAACACAAGUACAAAAUGUCAUUAGUCCAACACGUUUAGGUUUAUAUCUUGUAAGUGAUUCAUGGCGUUUAAAACCUUAAUGUCUAUCAUUAAUGAAUUCUAAAAUGUCUAUAUAUUUUUCAUGCAGAAAUAGUCACACCUGCCUGGCUUUUUCCAAGAUCCUCAACUCCGGUGGCAGAACCUAUUGUUCAGGGGCUUCCUGGUUGGGCCAUUGCAUUGUUAGUGCUAGCGUGCAUCAUCAUCCUGCUUCUUCUCAUCAUCAUGCUACUGUUAUGCUGUUGGUGCUGUAGGAGAAAAGAAAAAAAGGAAGAAACACAAACCGUAACGCCGUAUGAGAGAACAUCUUUCAAAGAACAUCUGGCCAAUCCCACAUAUAUGUCACACACACCUGAGAGGAGCCCCAACUACCGGAGCAUGGGAGAACCGGAAACACAACAUGGCAACCAACCCGGGAUCUACAUGAACCAUCAGAGAUGAAAACCACAACACCACUAGGCAUGGAGUAACUGAUGCCAUGAAGAGUCAGGAUGGAAAAGCGGUUUCUCUCAUAGAUGCUGGUUUCUUCAGCAAGUUUCUAAAAAUGUGGCAUCAUUACCAUCUCUAAUAGAAGUAUUAUACUCAACGUAAUAGAAAACUAUUUAUUUCUGUACUAUUUAUGAAGCACAGAUAUGGGGAUUUGGGUCUGUGAACUUUUGCAUCUCUUACUCUAUUUCAGUGGAACAUCAUAAGAUCGGGGCUAGUUGUCACAUUUAAUACUCCACUAAAUAUUGACCAGGUUAGGUUUAUUCUUAAGAGAGCCUUUGAACAUUUACACUGUUUCAACA